CACUUGGCCUCUCUCCCAAGGGCAGGCCCGUUGCCGAUAGACUGUGCUUGAUCUCUCCCCUGCCCUCGCAUUCAUUCUCCCAAGAUAUUUUAUUGUAAGAGGUAUUUGCCUACCACGCAUAUUUACAAUUCUUUCCCUGCCACCAAACCAACAAAGUGUCCACAGACAUCGAGUCUCGCUCUCUCACAAACACAUUCUCGCCUAUUCCCAUGGCUUGCCCUUCUCCUGUUUCCACCAGUUCGUUCUCUUUUCUCAAACGUGCUUCAUCCUCAGAUCCUUCUGAACCCUCUCCAUGCCGGCUGAGUUGGGCUUCUCUGCUCUUCUGGAGAGCCAUCCUUUUACCAGCCGCCUCCUCUCCACUCAAGCCCAUCUGUAUCCGUGGCUCGUGAUUGCUCGAGAUGGGCUCACCAUGGCUGUAGCUGGCAGUAUGUGUCCCAGAAGCUGCCUUGGCCUGAAGACCUCCGUGUGCCAGGACCAGACAGCCUCUCUGCCUCUCCUCGUGAAACCUAAACCUCGGCAAAGAGCCCUCUGCUGGCCCACAAGAGCA